GACGAACGCUGGCGGCGUGCUUAACACAUGCAAGUCGAACGGAAAGGCCUCGUUUUUGGGGUACGCUCGAGUGGAAAAGGUGAGAAACACAUGAGUAACCUGCGCUUGACUUUGUGAUAUCUCCUCGAGACUGUGGCUAUUAUCCGAUAUAAGAUCCCGCGCUGUGUGGGGGGUUGUAAAAAUUCUCCGGGUGUGGAUAUACACUCGGCUUAUAUCAUUGUGGUGGGGGGAGAGUGUUAUACCAGCUUUUACAGGGAUACCGCCUCAGAGAGUGAGACCCCACAUUUUGACUGAGAUACACCCCCCACACUCAUAGGAGACGCCACUGUGGAAUAUUUUGCACUGUGUGGAAACCUGAGAUGCCACCACCCCGUGCGCGAUAACACCCUUUUCGUUGUAAACCCCUUUCUCUCCUGACAAAACUCUGUAUUAACGGAAAUGGUAAAAAAACACCCGCUUAAUUACUGGCCACACACCCCGGUGAAUCCUAAGGGGGCAACCUUUGCCCGAAUUAAUGGGGGCUAAAGGGCUCNAGGUGGUUGAUCGCGUCGGAAGUGUAAUCUUGGGGCUUAUCCCUGAGCGUGCUUUCGAUACGGGUUGACUUGAGGAAGGUAGGGGAGAAUGGAAUUCCUGGUGGAGCGGUGGAAUGCGCAGAUAUCAGGAGGAACACCGGUGGCGAAGGCGGUUCUCUGGGCCUUUCCUGACGCUGAGGAGCGAAAGCGUGGGGAGCGAACAGGCUUAGAUACCCUGGUAGUCCACGCUGUAAACGGUGGGUACUAGGUGUGGGGUCCAUUCCACGGGUUCCGCGCCGUAGCUAACGCUUUAAGUACCCCGCCUGGGGAGUACGGCCGCAAGGCUAAAACUCAAAGGAAUUGACGGGGCCCCGCACAAGCGGCGGAGCAUGCGGAUUAAUUCGAUGCAACGCGAAGAACCUUACCUGGGUUUGACAUGGAUCAGGAGUGCUCAGAGAUGGGUGCGCCUCUUUUGGGGUCGGUUCACAGGUGGUGCAUGGCUGUCGUCAGCUCGUGUCGUGAGAUGUUGGGUUAAGUCCCGCAACGAGCGCAACCCUUGUUCACUGUUGCCAGCACGUUAUGGUGGGGACUCAGUGGAGACCGCCGGGGUCAACUCGGAAGAAGGUGGGGAUGACGUCAAGUCAUCAUGCCCCUUAUGUCCAGGGCUUCACGCAUGCUACAAUGGCUGGUACAAAGAGUGGCGAGCCUGUGAGGGUGAGCGAAUCUCGGAAAGCCGGUCUCAGUUCGGAUUGGGGUCUGCAACUCGACCUCAUGAAGUCGGAGUCGCUAGUAAUCGCAGAUCAGCAACGCUGCGGUGAAUACGUUCCCGGGGCU
rnacentral:rRNA from 1 species